ACACAUGCAAGUUGAACGGGAUUUGUAUGGUGCUUGCACCAUGUAAUGAGAGUAGCGCACUGGUGAGUAACACGUGGGAACAUACCUUGAAGUGGGGGACAACAGUUGGAAACGACUGCUAAUACCGCAUAAUCCCUGAGGGGGAAAGAUUUAUCGCUUUAAGAUUGGCCCGCGGAAGAUUAGGUAGUUGGUGGGGUAAAGGCCUACCAAGCCGACGAUCUAUAGCUGGUCUGAGAGGACGAACAGCCACAUUGGAACUGAGACACGGUCCAGACUCCUACGGGAGGCAGCAGUGAGGAAUAUUGGGCAAUGGAGGAAACUCUGACCCAGCCAUGCCGCGUGAGUGAAGAAGGUUUUCGAAUUGUAAAGCUCUUUCGGAUGGGACGAUGAUGACGGUACCAUCUAAAGAAGCCCCGGCAAACUUCGUGCCAGCAGCCGCGGUAAUACGAAGGGGGCAAGCGUUGUUCGGAAUUACUGGGCGUAAAGGGUGUGUAGGCGGAUUUGUAAGAUAGUGGUGAAAUACCUGAGCUCAACUUAGGAAUUGCCAUUAUAACUAUAGAUCUGGAGUGACAGAGAGGAUAUUGGAAUACCCAGUGUAGAGGUGAAAUUCGUAGAUAUUGGGUAGAACACCAGUGGCGAAGACGAGUAUCUGGCUGUCAACUGACGCUGAGGCACGAAAGCAUGGGGAUCAAACAGGAUUAGAUACCCUGGUAGUCCAUGCUGUAAACGAUGAAUGCUAGUUGUCGGCAAA
rnacentral:rRNA from 1 species